rnacentral:lncRNA from 1 species
AAAGAAAUCCAUCAGCCAAGCAUCCUGAAUAGUGACAGGUUGACAGAUAUCUACCCACUGUGAUGGACAGAAUUGUGUCCCCCGAAAAAUCCAUAUGUUGAAGUCCUAAACUCAGUAUCUCAGAACCAAUCUGUCAGCGCACUUCACCAAGGCUUGGAGGGCUCAUUGAAGGACCUGGAAAGUCCUUCUUUCCUAAGGGAUCAUCCUAAGUGAUUGGCACCAACGCAGUGCUGCAGUGAGAAGAAUGCCUCCAGGACAAGUGGCUGUCAGGAGUGGGGAAAUCUAGGAAUAUUCUGGACAGGAUGCUGCUCAUGCCCGCCAGAGAGAACUUCCCAACACCUGUCUUUCCAGGGAGUACUGGAACACUAAAGUUACCUGCAUCAGGUAACUUGCCUGCCGCAGGGCUGCGGAGUUUCCUAAGAGG